CAGCUUUGACGAGCUGCGAAGUCUUUCUUGAAGGACUCGAACUCUGUCCUCAGUUCUCCGAAGCUUUCUCCACCUAUAAGUUGUCCAAAGAGUGAAUCCUCCAUAAACUAGAAUAUAUGAAGCCCAGACGUAAGGGUAUGUUUCUGCAUUCUCUUUUAUCUUCCGAUACUGUUCUUCCACCAUUUCUUUCAAGCCAACGGCCGAGGGGCUAGAAGCUUGCUUAUCUUCAUUUUGCUCAGUUGUCAUUUUUUUCCCCUGCCAGAUUUCACUGUCAAAAAGGAAAAUUUGUCAAAUGAUAUGCAAGCACUGGUAAUUCUAGGGUCGUAUUCUACAGACGUCUGCAGACAAACUAUCAUUACCCAAAGAUUAAUUCCGCAGCUAGUAUUAACAACAGAAAAGACUGAAGCAAGAAGUUUCCAUCUCAUUUGUUUUCCUAUUAUCUCUGUCACGAACAAGAAUUACAAGCUUCACAUAAUACUCCCAUGGAAUAACCUAUUAAACAUAAACAAGCCGAAGCAAAAUGGGUUCAAGACAAAACAAGACAUGGCAAUAAUGGCAAAGAAAUCAAUUUUUUUUCUCGCCUUCCUUGAUAUUGGAUUGUGAACAGGUAACAAACCAGAACGAAUCAAAAGAGCAAAC
rnacentral:lncRNA from 1 species